ACCGCCCACUUACCAAACCAACGGUUGCGAUGCGCUAGCUGAAACUCUUCAUGAAUAACGCGAUUAUAAGUUGUUUAUUCAAUGUUAAAUUAACGAGUAGUUUGCCAGGUAACUAGUUAGUAACCUUGUGUGUUACCCCAAGAAGAUAUGUGGAUAAAGUGGUUCAUUAUCACUGUUUGUUUUGAUCGCGGAGUGGAUACAUAGGCUGUUGUUGUUGUGGCCUGCUAACUAGGAUAGCUAAGCUAGCAUAGCUAAGCUUGAAUUAGCUUCAGCUGGUUCCUCUUUGCGUCUCAGAAACGAAGAGGGGGAAAUGGCACACCUUCACAGCUAACUCUCAAGAGCUGUCUCUGUAAAGACACGUUGUGGUGUUGGCUUGGGAUCAGAAAGUUGUCCCCAGCGAUGAGAGCCUCUCACCACUGACUGACAUCUCAGAGAAAUGGAGCUGUACUGGUACAUAGUUGUCAUUGUAUUCAUCAUUAUCAAGAUAUGCUUCUACGUGUGCUGGUAUCGAUCGAGACAGAGGCAGCUGGCGGCGUACCUGAACAACCCACGCAACGCUCAGAUAGUCAUCGUCGGAGGAAGGGCUUACCUCCAUCAGAUGUAUGAGAGACAGAGUCAGACCCUGUCU